CGUCCACUCCCCGCGUCUAGAGCAGAAACACAAUUCCCUUUUACCCCAAAUUUCCCAUUUUAGCACCAACCCGCGUCAUUCUCCGCUGCCGUCGCCGCUCCGUCACGGUUGCAUCGCCGGCGCUCCUCAACACAUACUCUCUCUCAACCAUAAAUCCUACUCCGACGCCUUACUCAAACCAAGGAUUUUCAGCGAGGGAUGACAGGUAGGAGCACGUAAUUUGAAAACACUUACCGUCACUGGUUCCGAAGUUCCCUUCACCAUUGUCGCUGGUUCUACUUGUCGUCGCUGCUAGCUCGUGCUUAUCCAAUGGCCUGGUGAGGGGCUGUUAAGGUGUGGAAAGAGCUGCAGAUUAAGGUGGAUAAAUUAUCUGAGGCCUGAUAUCAAGAAAGGGAAUUUCACCAUUGAAGAAGAAGAAACCAUCAUCAAGCUUCAUGAAAUGCUUGGCAACAGGAAAAUCCUGUUCCAACACCAAUGGUUUCUUCUACAAAACAGACAGAAUUCAUAACAGAAAGGAGUUGAAGAAGAGAUUGAGCAACAGGUUUCAUUUACACUAUCACAAGUAUUGGUAGAGCUUAAGACUUCCAGAAAAGCUAUUCAAGGAUAUGGUUGGUAGAGACGGAGAUCGCAGUCGUAGCCGUGGCCGUUGCCGUGGCCGUGGCCGUGGCCAAGGCCGAAAGGGGAAGCCUAGGCUUUCAUUGGUCAGCCCCUUGACUUGCAUGCGGAUCCAUACUCUCUCGUUGGAUCAUCAUCCGACACAACUGGUUAUGUUGAUCCUUGCUCUGUUUUUCUGUUGAUGGUUGUUAUGUUGUUCUUGCUAUUAGUUUGUUGCUCUGUUGCUGACUUGUGUUCUUGAGAUCUUGGCUUCCUUCCGUGGUUGCUGACUUGCUAGGUUUUAUUUUUAUUUUUAUUUUUUGUUGUAAUGUUGUAAUGUUAUUUUUUGCUAGAAUUAGCUUUUAAGUAUAUAAUUAAUUCAAUUGUUCUUAUUA